UACGGGGGGGGCAAGCGUUGUUCGGAAUUACUGGGCGUAAAGGGUUCGUAGGUGGCUCGCUAAGUCAGACGUGAAAUCCCUCAGCUUAACUGGGGAACUGCGUCUGAGACUGGCGAGCUCGAGUGCAGGAGAGGAACGCGGAAUUCCAGGUGUAGCGGUGAAAUGCGUAGAUAUCGGGAGGAACACCUGUGGCGAAAGCGGCGCACUGGACCAUAACUGACGCUGAGGCGCGAAAGCUAGGGGAGCAAACAGG
rnacentral:rRNA from 1 species